rnacentral:rRNA from 1 species
UACGGGAGGCAGCAGUGGGGAAUAUUGNGCAAUGGGCGAAAGCCUGACCCAGCAACGCCGCGUGAAGGAAGAAGGUCUUCGGAUUGUAAACUUCUUUUAUGAGGGACGAAGGACNUGACGGNACCUCAUGAAUAAGCCACGGCUAACUACGUGCCAGCANCCGCGGNAAU